rnacentral:lncRNA from 1 species
AUGCCGCUCAUUCCAACUGUGUACAUCUGCUUAACCAGCAAGUCCACAGCAAGGGCGCACCAGCGGUCUCGUUCGGAGCAAGCCGGGUGGCCUGGUGUACGCAGCAGAAGCCCGAGGGCAUUGACCUGGCGCGUUUCUCCAGCAACGAACAUCGUCUGCCCCGGGACUGUGUCUCCGGCCAGGCCUGAAGCCAAAGCCCUGGCGAAUCUACCCCCCAGCGCCGAGCCGCGAGCCGCGAGCCACAGCUGGGAGCACACGGCCUGCGCCCACCGCCGCCCUCGGAGCCGCCUUCCUGGCGCCGCCGCCCUGGGCCCUCUGCCCCCCUCGGCGGGAACCGACUCCCAUUUCCUCCUCUCAGAGCGGUCUUCCGUCUACGCGUCUUCUGGGCUCCCUGGGUGGGGUGCUUUUAAAAAAAAAACAAAAAACAUUUUUAUUUAUUUACGCAUGAGAGAGAGGCAGAGACACGGGAGGAGGGAGAAGCAGGCUCCAUGCGGGGAGCCCGACGUGGGACCCGAUCCCGCGACCCCAGGACCACGCCCUGGGCCGAAGGCGGCGCUAAACCGCCGCGCCGCCCGGGGUCCCUUGCGGUGCUUUCAGUGUCGGUUCAGGGGGUCGGGAUCGCGCGGCCGGCCGCUCCCCUCCCGCCCCGCCUCCGCAGCCCCGGCCCCCACCCGCCGGGCCCACGGAUCACGCGGCGAGCCCGGCGCGUCACAAGGGCGCCCUCGCGGCCCCGCCGCCCGCCGCCCGCCGAGGGUCCACCGCGCCGCUCCCUGCGUCCUUCCAGCCGCGUCUUCGGGAGAAGAAGGUGCUCAGAGGGACGAUCGAGGUGCCGGAUGUGAAGAGCGGGAGCGUGGAGACCCGGAGCCCGAGCUACAAAAGAUUGUACCCAAACUAGUUUGAUGCUGCCCUAUCCAGUGUCCCUUCUCUGAUGCUUGGUCUUGAAGGCAGUGAAAGCCCACCUCACCCUGGUGCUAUUUGCUGAGAG